UACGAAGGGGGGCUAGCGUUGUUCGGAAUUACUGGGCGUAAAGCGCACGUAGGCGGAUAUUUAAGUCAGGGGUGAAAUCCCAGAGCUCAACUCUGGAACUGCCUUUUGAUACUGGGUAUCUUGAGUAUGGAAGAGGUAAGUGGAAUUGCGAGUGUAGAGGUGAAAAUUCGUAGAUAUUCGCAGGAACACCAGUGGCGAAGGCGGCUUACUGGUCCAUAACUG
rnacentral:rRNA from 1 species